rnacentral:lncRNA from 1 species
CGCUGUCAACCUGGUCUGACUUCCUUCUGAGUUUGUAUAGAUUGUGCGAUAAAUCCCCUCGUGUUGAUCGCUCUCAGAUACAACGGUCCCAGUUUGUAAUUCCAGUUGUGGAUUCCGUCCUACCACUGUACUCGGGCGCACUAGUUACAUUCGCUCCAUUCAUUUCAUGCAUUUAGGAGUUUAAGUUUAGUUCGGGGUGUAGUAAUUGACUCAUUUCACUUUUUCUUAACGAAGAUGGUGUGCCUCAAACAUUUUUGUUUCUGGAACAAAGUACUAGUGUCGAAACAUAAUUCUAGUGAGUUCUUCGACUGUCACCCUUACCUUCGGUUAUCACUUUACUUCGUUUAAGAACAUAGUGAGAUUGCGUGUUGAUAAGAGUAGUAUGGCAGUUUGUCCAGUGUCUUGAAGUGUUUGUCAGUAGUCAACUGAACGGCCUACUCGGAGGUAGUCCAGUUAGAAAGUGGUUCUAGAUUCAGGGACAUGAGAAUCCACUCCAGCACAUUUUUGAGUACAAGUUCCAAUGUUCUCGCUAUGUCCCAUAGAAUCGAGCCGAAACGUUAACCCGUGCUCCCUUCCUUCUGAAAGGACAACGAAUAGAAAUAUCCAUACAGUUAGAAUGUAGUAAACUCACCUGAAUGAUAUAGUGCCUACAUCGAAGCUACUUACAAUGAUGACAGUCAGUCUCUAUUUUCUACUGGGUGCUUGACUAAGCCUUACCUUUUUUUUCUUACACAAGGUUUCAACUCGAUUAAGUAAACCGCGAGCGCAUCUCAGGCGUGUUCGAGCAUUUCCAGAAUUCCUGGAGGUUACACUUUCUCGAAUCGUCUGCGAUGGCCGUAAGUAACCAGACUAAGAAAAACUCCAGC